AGGAUCAGAAUCUCUUUAAAGACAAGAAAAGUACGAUUCCCCCAUUUACCACAUCAAACACCCCAAUGUACUUCCAGCUCAGGGAGCACGUCUACUUCACCUUUCUACUGGGCCAGCUACUCAUUCAGACACCUACCAGUACAUCCUGCCUACAGAGAGGAUAUAUGUCCGGUGUUCUCUCACCCCUGUGGAGAAAGGUUAACCACAGCUGCUCGAGGAAGAUGGACCCAAAAUAAGAAAUUUUCUACUUGGAUUUGGGGAACCAGUAAAUUCAUUCAGAUCCCUCAUUAUUUUCAGAGGAGUGAGGCACACAGCUCGAAGACUGCACUUCCCUUUGUCCCUUGCCAGUGAGAAGCAAGCGAAGUAAUAUAGAGAAAUGCCAGGAAGGCUAACUCAGGUGGAAGAUGUACUUCUUCAGGCCCCUUAUUCCUUUUUCUUGCUGCCUGAAAUUCUCCAGGCACCAGCCAUCUUGAUCCCUAAGGUAGACUUCAUUAUACAAACCACGUGCUAAAUGGCAGAUAAAAAUAUAGAGUCAUCAUAGCACCUCUGGUCUACCUACCUCAAUUAACUUUCUUUUACUUACACACAACAAAUUACAAAUAGCAUA